AUUGAACGCUAGCGGGAUGCCUUACACAUGCAAGUCGAACGGACUGGCGAACGGGUGAGUAAUGUAUCGGAACGUGCCCAGUAGCGGGGGAUAACUACGCGAUAGAGUAGCUAAUACCGCAUACUAUUUGUGCGGCCGUUACCGGAUUAGUUAGUUGGUGGGGUAACGGCCCACCCAGGCGACGAUCCGUAGCUGGUUUGAGAGGAAGACCAGCCACACGGGAACUGGGACACGGCCCAGACUACUACGGGAGGAAGCAGUGGGGAAUGUUGGACAAUGGGGUCAACCCUGAUGCAGCCAUGCCGCGUGUGCGAAGAAGGCCUUCGGGUUGUAAAGCACUUUUGGCAGGAAAGCGGUACCUGCAGAAGAAGCACCGGCUAACUACGUGCCAGCAGCCGCGGUAAUUC
rnacentral:rRNA from 1 species